AUGUCUACUUUAUUAUUUUCUAAUUUUUUGAAGCCAUGAACAUGCUUGAGAUUUGAAUUGAUUUCCUCCAAUUGUGAUUUGAUAAGUUGUGAUUGCAAUUCAAUUAUCUAUUUUAUUCAUAACUAAUUCUUGUAUGUUUAUUAAGGAUGCAUACUUAGUUUUCAUGCAUGAAUUAGAUGCUAGAAUAUAAAUGAGUUUCACCUAAUCGUUACAAGUUUAUAUUCAUGAGUAGUGAAGGUUGUUUAUCACAAUCGCGUUAAUUGAAUUCUUGGCAAAUAUAUCAUGCAUUCAUAGUUAUAAUUGCCUCGUCAACACUUAUGAUUUUCAUUGAACGUAAUGAUCUCUCUGAUUGUAUCUCUAUUAUGCAUUCAUAUAGGGGACUUUUAGAGAAUGAUUUGGGUUGUUGCAUGCAUUCAUCCAACUCAAUGAGUAAAGGAAAAUCUGAGGGUUAAUUUGUGCAUCACGGUUAAUUUGGGGUGUUGAGCAUCAUAGUUAAUUGAAAAGCAAUUGGAAAUCGAUUCAUAUACAAGUGUGUCAUGUGUGAAGAACGGACCUCUAACUAAUCCAUCCAUCAUCUCAUUUCUUAAAUUCGUUUUACAAUCUGUCUAAUUUUAUAAGUUGUUUGUUUGUUUCAAAUUCAUCAAAACUAAAAUCCCCCUUUUACUUUCUUGUUUCAAAGUGUUAAAAUCUGUUUUGUUUGUGUUUUAGAGUGUUUUG
rnacentral:sRNA from 1 species